CACAGCAACCAAGCUCACCCUUCAGCAAUUAUACUCACCAAGGUGUGGUCCCUUCUCACUCCUCCUCUUCUGAAGCCACAGAAGACAGAGUUGUCAUGUUAGUGUUCCUGGGCUUUCUGAGUCCUCCCUCAUCAGUCAGCUGCCAAUGUCUGAGCUAUGGGUGAGUAGGGAUCGCCAGUGCUGAGGCUGCAGACUACACAGUUGCCCCCAGGAUUUGCUGCCAUUGACUCCAAGGUAUCUGCCACAGGGCUGUAGAUUUCCACGUCAAGUAGACAAGCACCACAAUCAGGUGCUGAUGUCAGCUGUCCUAAUGGAGUCAACAAGUUCUGGGUCAAGAGAGCCAUAGACUGCACUUAAAAAGGAAGGUUUUGACCAAAGACUGUUUGAGUAACCAAGACUGCUAAACGGAGAAGAGCGGAGAGGGAGCUUUCAGCACGUGGUUUCGGCGUCUUUUUGGUGAAGUAUAUACCAGAGUCCUCAGGUAAAAGGCCAGGAGGGGGGAGUGCUAUGGGAGGCUCCCGGAGACAGGAAAAAGUUUAGAACAGCCUUUGGAGAGUGAGAGAGUGAAGGGAUUAGACGAUGCAAAAGGAUCGCCUGCCCCAGGGAGGGCGCUGUUGAGACCAUGUAACAUUUAUAGUGGAUCUAGGCAGCAUGUUUGGGGAUUUUCUCCAUCUUUGUUCAGCGAUUCAGGACAGGAGUGAAGGGGACGGUGGGAGGUAGAUAGUGGGAGUAACCCAAAAUUGGGCUUGGCAAGUAAGGCAUGACCAGUGAUGGAACAAGGGGACAAGGGACUUGAAUUUAGAGCCCAGUGAAGCUUCUUUUUUAUAUGAGAAUUGAAGAAAAAUUUCCAAUUACAUGUAAUACUAAUUUUCAAUAUGUGUUUUCCAGAAUUAUAAGAUUCAUAUGGUCUCAUUUCCUCCCUUCCCUCCUCCCUCACAGAGAUGGGAAGCACUUUGAUCUAGACCAUAUAUGUAUUAUCAUGCACAACAUACUUCCAUAUUGGUCAUUGUUGUAAGAGAAUGCUCAUAUAAAACCCAAAUCCCCAAAUAAAACCAUAAAUAAACUAAGGUGGAAGAUAGUAUCUUUGAUAUGCAUCUGACUUCAACAGUUCUUUCAUUGGAGGUGGGUAGCAUUCUUUGUCAGAAUUGUCCUGGAUCAUUGUAUUGCUGAGAGUAGCUAAGUCUUUCACAGCUGAUCAUCACACAACAUUGCUGUUACACAGUGUAGCUUCUAACUGUUGAUGGCAACCCAUAGCACCAUUGAGAGCAAUCUUCCUCUUCAAACUUCUGUCUAUAUCACUGCCAGAGAAACAGCAAGACCCCAGUUGGUUUCUAUGUCAACACAUUCCAGAGCAUUGCUUGCAAAGAGAACUUCUGCAAGGAGAUGAACAAGAUGAACAAGUUCUAUUUUGUGCUCCUGCCACCUCAGUCUUCUCCAGAAGCCUCUGGUGUACAUUAAUUUUUCAAAAAUUUGAGUUCCAAAUUCCCUCCCUCCCUUUAGUUCCUCCCUCACCCAUUGAGAAAGCCAGCAAUAUGAUACUCCUUAAAUAUUUGAAGUCAUGCAAAACAUAUUUUCAUAUUAGCCAUGUUGCAAAAAAGAAAAGAAAAAGAAAGCAAAAAAAUAUGUUUUAAUCUGCACUCAAGAGUUCAUUAGUUCUGUCUCUGGAGGUUGAGAGCAUUUUUCAUUUUUCAUCAUGAAUCUUUCAGAAUUGUCCGGGAUCAUUGUAUUGAUCAGAAUAGUUAAGUUUUUCACAGUUGAUCAUCAUUACAACAUUCCUUUUUUUAAAUUUUAUUUACUUUUCAUAAAGUAUUUUUCCAUGGUUACAUGAUUCAUGUUCUCACCCUCCUCUUUUCCCUUCCCCCUCCUAGAGUUGAUAAGCAAUUCCACUAGGCUAAACAUAUAUUAUCAUUCAAUACUUCUUUUCCAUAUUAUCCAUUUUUGUAAUAGAGCAAUCUUUUAAAAUCAAAACCCCAAAUUCUAUGUCUGUAGAAACAAGUGAUAGAUUGCAUGUUUUUCUUCUGUGUUUCUACUCCCACAGUUCUUUCUCUUAAUGUGGAUAGCAUUCUUUCUCAUAAAUUCCUUGGGAUUGACCUGGAAGGUUGCAUUGCUAUUAGUAGCAAAGUCUAUCACAUUUGAUCAUGCUACAAUGUUACAUGCCACAGUUACUGUGUACAUGUUCUCCUGGUUCUGCUCAUUUCACUCCACAUCAGUUCAUGGAGGUCUUUCCAGUUCAUAUAGAAAUCAAGCAGUUCAUCAUUCCUCUAGUUGGCAUAAUAGUAUUCCAUCACUAUCAUAUGCCACAAUUUGUUCAAUCAUUCCCCAGUUGAGGGAUAACCUCUCAUUCUUACAAUUUUUUGCCACCAUUUUUGUGCAAACAUUUUUUUAAAAAAUCUCUUUGGGAUACAGAACAAGUAGUAGUAUUGCUGGAUCAAAGGGUAUGCAUUCUUUUAAAGCCCUUUGCACAUAAUUCCAAAUUGCCUUCAGAAUGAUUGGAUCAAUUCAAAUUCCACCAGCAAUGCAUUAGUGUCCCAAUUUUACCACAUCCCUUCCAACAUUUAUUAUUUUCCUUUACUGUCAUUUUAGCCAAUCUGCUAGGUGUGAUGGUGGUACCACAGAAUUGUUUUGAUUUGCAUGUCUCUAAUCACAACAUUACUCUUACUGUGCACAGUGUUCUUCUUGUUUUGCUUAUAUCACUUUUGCACCAAUUCCUAUAAUUUUCUCCAGGUUUUUCUGAAACCAUUCUACUGUCAUAGCACAAUAGUAUUCCAUCCCAAUCAUAUGCCAUAACUUGUCUAGUCAUUCUCUAGUUGAUGGGUAAUCCCUCAAUUUCCAAUUUAAAGAAGAAUAUUCUGAAGGAAUUCUGAAGAAAGGGAGAAAAAACUUGCAAGAAGCUUACAAUCCUUACAAGAAAAAGAUCAGACUGCAGUGAGAAAUUUGAGAGAUUGUUUCCUGACUGACAUGUUAAAAAUCAACCCUCUGGAUUUGCACAUUUUAAAAGUACUAUAUAAAUGUCAACUCUUGAUGUUACUAUUGUUAUUGUUGCUAUUACUACAACCACUAAUAAUAAUUUGGAGUUUAGGGCUCUAAUUUUGCUAUAAAUUACUAUUUCAAUUUUAAAUAAGCCCAUUUCCCUCUCCAGGUUUCAUUUUUCUCCUUUGUAACACAGGGGAGUUGAAUCUGUUGAUUUCUAAAGUUAUUUCCAAUUCUAAAUUUCAACAUGUUGAUUUUUAAAAACAUACAAAUAUAAAAAAUGCAUUUUUAAGUAAAGGCUAAAUUACCUGCCUGACAAAGUGUAGAGAACCCUAGAUUGGUAAAUGGGAGUCCUGGUAUGGUAUUGUGGGGUGAGGAAGUGAUGGUGGAAAGAAGGGCAGCAUUCUGUCAUAUUAGUUCUUAUUAGCCCUACGACUUUGGAUGAGUCCCUUGCCCUCUUUUGGCCUUUGUUUCCCAUUAAAAUCCAGGGUGUGGUGAGAGUUUUAUUUGAUGAUUUUAGGUGAUUCUGAUUCUUUGCUGAUCUAAGGGAGUUUGACUCAAAAGAUUUUGAGGCUGUGGGGAUCUGGGUGCUCAAGGGCUCUAGAGAAGAACUCCAAGAAAGGCUGCAAGACCUUCUCAGUAAUUAAAAGAAAAUUAACCUAAUGUAAGAAAUGAACUCUGAAAGAGGAGAUUCAAGGUCUAUAUAGCAAUUAAAGAACAUUUGAUUGGAGUAGCUAGGUGGCUCAGUGGAUGGAGUACCAGCUCAGGGAGGACCUGAGUUCAAAUUUGAUUUCAGACAUUUCCUCGCCAUGUAAUCCUGGGCAAGUCAGUUAACCCUGUUUGUCUAGAGUUGUUACUAGAACAGAAACUAAGGGUUGUUUUUUUAAAGUGCAUUUGACAGCAGACAGAUACCCUACCUGGAAACCAAGAAGGCUCCCCUGGGUUCCAAAUCUGACCUUUGUACCGUGUGAGCCACGUGAUCCUGGGCACUUAGCUUCUCAGUGUUAUAGGCCAGUGGUGUCAAACUCAAAUAGAAACAGGAAAUACUAAACCAUACAUUAGAAUCUCUAAGGCUGCAUAUUGACUCCAAAAACCUAAUGUUAAUAUUAACUGUGUUUUGUUGUAUUUUUAUUUAUUUUGUUAAAUAUCUCCCAAUUACAUUUUAAUCUGGAUGGGAGCAUGGGGAGCUGCACCCUGUCUGAUACCUCUCUUCUAGGUUAUUUACUAAGAUCUGAGUUAACCCGUUUUUCUUUUUCUUUUCUUUCUUUUUUUUUAAAACCUAACCUUCCAUCUUAGAAGCCAUACUAAGUAUUGAUUCCACACAGAAGAGCUGUAAGGGCUAGACAAUGGGAGGUAAGUGACUUGCCAAGGCCCAUAUAGCUAGGAAAUAUCAGAGGUCAAAUUUGAACCCAGGACCUUCUGCCUUUAGACCUGGCUCUCAAUUUAGCUGCUCCUGAGUUUUUAACUUUUCUUCUGUCAUGGACCCCUUUGGUUGACCACUGAAGUCCAUAGACCCAUUUUCAGAAUUGGUUUUUAAAUUCAUAAAGUGAAAAAUAUAGGAUUAGAAAGAAAACCAAUUCUUAUUAUUACUUUUAUGAUCUUGGGCAAAUCAGUUAAUAAAACUCCAUGGGACUUAGAUUUCUUAUCUGUAAAAUGAGAAAAAUGGAUUGGAUUUAAAAAAUUAGAACUGGACAGAACUUUCAAGUCCAGCCCACUUACUUUGCACAGAUGAGGAAAGUGAGGUCCAGAUAUGCCACGUGAUUUUUCCAGGAUCACAUGUCUAGUAAAUGUCUGAAAGGGUAUCUGAAUCCAGGUCUUUUCAGUUCCAAGUUUAGUGCUCACCAAUGGCUUCCAUCUUAAAGUCCCAUGAAAUGUGAAUGGAUCCCAAGGGGGCUAUGUAGAGAGCCAAAGGAGUGUGUGAUCAACCAAUUGUAGACUAGGAAGAUGGGCACCACCCACGCUCCCCAUGAUAACCAAUGUACUUGUCUCUAAUACAACUAAUUACACCACCCUCUUCAUUCAUAAUUACUGAACAAUUUUAUUUAUUUAUUUUUCAAGUUACAGAUUGAUAGAAUUUGAUUUUUAAAAAAUAUUUUUCCAUGUUUCCAUGAUUUAUUUUCUUUCCCUCCUCUCUUCCCUCCCUGCUCUGGGACCCAACAAGCAAUUCCACUGGGUUGUACAAAUGUUAUCACAUACCUAUUUCCAUAUUAUUCAUUUUUGCUAUAGAGUGAUCUUUUAAAACCAAACCCCCAAAUCAUAUACCCAUAUAAAGAAAUGAUAAGUGAUGUCAUAUUUGUUCUUCUGCAUUUCUGCUCCCACAGAUUUUCCUUUGGAUGUGGAUAAUGUUCUUUCUCAUAAGUCCCUUUGGAUUGCAUUGCUGCUAGUAGGGAAGUCCAUUACAUUGGAUAGAAUUUUAAAUAAUUGUUUUUUGACAUUUUGCCAUCCAUGUUUCUUUCCCUCCCUUCCACCCCUCUCCCAUCCUCAAGAUGGCAGGUAAUAAUGGUAUAGAUUGUACAUGUAUUGCCAUACAAUACACACUUCCCUGUUCAUGGCAUUGUAAAGAAGACACAUAUCUCUUACAUCAGAGAAAAAUUCAUGAAGGAAAUGAAGCAAAAAAAAUGGUGUGUUUCAAUCUGCAUCAUUGAACACUCUCUUACUGGCUUCCUCCUAUCUAUGGCUUCCUUUUUUAGCGGCACCUGGACAUUGAUUGGCCAUUGGGCUGCUUCCAGUGACCUAGGCACCUGCACUCCAGCCCCCAGCUUCUCUAAAUCCUGCUCCAAUUUACCUCAUAGCUAGGCUCCACUCUAAGGCUGAAGCCAUUAAGCCCUACCCCACCCCUUCCUAUUCUCAAUUUUUGAUGGGAUAAAAUGAUAUUCCCAGGAGGAGCAGGUAGGGAUGGCCUGAGAUCUCCAUUAUAGUUUUCAUCAUUUGCUUUCCCCAAAAACCCCUCCUAUCAGAGCACCCCAUCCUUCUAGUCACUCAGGUUCAUCUUUCACUUCUCGCUCUCCCUUAUCCCACUUAUCCAGUAAGCUUCCAAAUCUUGUCUUUUCUACCCCUACAAAAUUUCUUGCAUCUGUCCUAUUUAUUCUACUCACACAGUAGCCACCUUAGUUCAGGCCCUCACAUCUCUCAUCUGGACUUUUGUGUUGUUGUCAUUGCUGUUAAGUUGUUUCAGUCAUGUCCGACUCUUCAUGACCCUAUUUGAGACUUCCUUGGCAAAGAUACUGGAGUGGCCUGCCAUUUCCCUCUCCAGUUCAUUUUACAGAUGAGAAAACUGAGGCAAAUGGGGUUGAAUAAUUUGCCCAGGAUCACACAGCUAGUAAGUGUCUGAGGUUGGAUUUGAACGCAGGAAGCUGUCUUCGUGAUUUUAAGUCUGGCACUCUAUCCUCUGUCACUUAGUUGUCCUGUAUAACAUUGGACAAGUCACUUCAUCUCUGGUUGCUUCAGUUUCCUCAAUUGUAAAAGGGAAAUAAUAGCAUCUACCUUGAAGGGUUGUUAUUAUGUUGUUAUGUAAAGUGAGAAAAUAUUUGUAAAACACUUAGCAUAGUGCUGGCUUGUUAGUUAUUAUUAUCUUUAUAUAUACUUAAAAACAUAUGUAUAUAUUAUUAGUGCAGUAGUAGAAUAUUGAAUUUAUAAAUUAUUAAAUAGACAUGGAGGGGCGUGCUCAAAAAGCUUUUCCUGCGAAGGGUGUACAAUUUAAGAAGUUUGCAGACAGCAGUACUUACUACCCAUUGCCUUAAAUGGUCUCUGAUGUUCCUCAAAGCUCUCAGUUUACAAUAAUAUGAUUCCCCAAAGACUCUAUAGUUAACAAGUAAUAGAAACGAAUCUGACCCAAGAUUUCAAAUUCUAGAAUGCCACUUUCCUCAGGUAGCAUAUAAAAAAGUAUUUACCAACCUUAAAGUGCUAUAUAACUGCUACUAUUGUUAUUAAUAAUUACAUGUCAUAUUAUAUAAUAAACAACAACAAUAAUAAUAGCAAUAUCAUUCUACCACCCUGAUACACCACCAUUGAUUGGGCCAUUUGUCAACUAUGAGGCUUAUAAAUAAUUUCCAUUUUUAUCUUUAUUUUUUACUAUUACAAAUAACUCAACUGAGAACAACUUUAUUCAGACUGCUUUUGUUUUGUUUGCAUCUUGGAGAGACAGCAUGAUGUAAUGGUAGUGGGUGGAAUAUUGGAUUUGGAAUUAGAAAUGUCUGGAUUAAAAACCUGCCUUUGACACUUACCUUUUUCUAAAAUGGAGAGAACAGGAUCUCUCUCCCCAGAGGUUCUUUUGUGGGUGAAUUCACAUAGGCACAGACACAGACACAGACACAGUCAGAGACACAGACGCACACCCACACACACCCCUAGCUAAAGCAGCAGGGCACCCUAAGGGAUAGACAGAAGGCAGGUUUAAAUCCUACCUACAUUUUAGAGGCAAUGUUAGAGGUAAAAGUAUUGAUUUAACUCAACAAACACGUAUUCUGCAUAGUAAUGCAGAGAGCUUUGUGCUAUCAGUCAAAUCAACAAACAUUUGUUCAGUACCUACAAUGUGGCCGGCUCUGAGUUACACAUUAGAAAUACAAAGAUAAGUGGAUUAACAUGAUUGGGCAUAACAUUUGGAUUCCCAGUACAUUUCUCUACUCCCAAUAGAAUGUUGGCUCUAUAAGAGCAGGGAUUUUUGUUUUUGUUUUUUCCUUCAUUCCCCUGAUGCCUUGCACACAGUAGGUCCCUAAUAAAUGUUUGUUGAAGUGAAUUGAAUUGAAAUUAUUUGUUCCUGACUUUUGGCUAUUUCUCUUUCAGGACCUAGGUCAUAUUGCCUUAGAGGUUUAUAUUAACCCUGGAAAUCAUGACUGUUCAGUCAUAGCUACACAGUGCCUAGCACUGUGCACCCUAGGUGCCAAAUAAUGCUUGUUGAUUGAUGGAUGCUCAGGAAAUCUGCAUGUGGGAUUAAUUUUCAUAUCAUUAACUUAAUCAUUUACACAAAAAUAUUUUAAUUAAAGCAAAAAUUGACUGUAUAAAAACCACAAAUUCAAUAAAUAUUCUUUAAACACCUACUAUGUCUUAAGCAUCAUGUUUGGCAUUGGAACUCCAACAAUAUUCUGGGAUCAGGGCAGCCAGCUGGCUCAGUAGAUAGAGAGCCAGACCUGUAGAUGAGAGGUCCUGAAUUCAAAUUUGGCCUCAGACACUUCCUAGCUAGGCAACCCUGGACAAGUUACUUACCUCCCAGUAGACCUAGCCCUUACUUUUUUUCUGCCUUAGAACUAUUACUUACUAUUGAUUAUAAGACAAAAAGUAAGGAUUUUUUUUUAAUCCUGUAGGUGGUAGUUGGUUAGAAGUUGGCAGAGAUGACUGGUCCCUUCUCCACAUGAUUACUUUCCUAGAUAAUGGCUUUAAGGACUCGACUGGAGGCAGGACCAGUCACCUGGGUAAUGCUGUGGCUUCCUGGGCUCUUGUGCCUGUGGCAGUUGGUUAAAAGCAGUUGCUGGUGGUGAUGAGGAAGGAGGACUCCUUCACAGUGAUUUCUCUCUUCAAUGAUGGUUGGAGAGGUUUGGCUGGAAGCAGGUCUGGUGAUCUUGGUGCCCUGGGGUGGGAGGUGCCUGCUAUUCCUAGGCUCUUGGGUUUAGGGUCCUAGGCUGUCUCCAUUAGAAUCUGAGGUGAAAUGAUGGUUAAAGUGGUGGUUUGUCUUGCCUAGAAGAUGUGGCCAGUUGAUAGUACUCUAAACAAAAAUAGUGAAAUUCAGGGGAGGCAUAAGUUUGAGUAGUUUUAUGGGGAAAGAUUGGGGAAAGUCCAUUUUGGAUAUAUUGAGUUUGAUAUGCCAGUGGUAAAUGGAGGUAUAGAAGUCAAGUUGGUGAGUGAUAUUGUGAGAUUAGAGUUCAGGAGACACUGGAAUUAGACCUGUAGAUGUGAAGAACAUUUGAGUAGAGAUGAUCAUUGAACACACAGAAGCAAAUGAGAUUAGCAAGGGUUUUGAAAGAGAAGGCCAAAGACAAAGGACAGCUUUCCUUAGAAGGUGGGAGAUAGAUGACAAGCCAGAAACUGAGCUGAAGAAUGAACUGGUCAACAGGUAGGAAGAAAUAAAGAAAGAAUAGGGUAACCCAGAAGAGACAUGACUGACAGUGUCACAGGGUCAAGGACAAGGAAAACUGAUAAAAAUUCAUUAUUUUUUUAAGCCCUCACCUUCCAUCUUAGAAUUGAUACUAUGUAUUGGUUCCAAGGCAGAAGAGUGGUAAGGGCUAGGCAAUGGCGAUUAAGUGACUUGCUCAGGGUCACACAGGUAGGCAGUGUCUGAAUCCAAAUUUGAACCUAGGUCCUUCUGUCUCUAGGCCUGACUCUCAAUCUAUUGAGCCACCUAGAUGCCCCCUAAAAGCCAUUAUAGUUAGAGACCAAUGGGCAAUAGUUUUUGUUCUUAUACAGAAUGACUUAUGAUAGCCCUAAGGGUGGGAGCCAAGAUGGUGGAGAAGGUCUCCAGAGUCACCUUAUCUCUACCAAUUUACCCUCUAAACAACUAUGAUGUAACACUUCAAAAUGAAUUCUUCAUCAGUAUAACCCACAAAAAGAAAAGGUAAAAUAAUUUUUCAGCCCAAAAUAACGUAGAAGGCUGGCACAAAAGAUAUAUUGUACUGGGGUAGAAAGUGGAGCACAAAGUAUCAUGCCACGGCAGGGCCCAUCUCAGUAACAGGCAUUGGGGCCAACUGAAUUGGCAACAAAGGCUUCCUGAACUCUCAACUAUAGAUUAUGGUAAGGAAGGUGGGACAACUGCUCAGAAGGAGAUGACAGGGGUCCCUUUCCUGCCUCUGGGUACAAGACUCUCAUCACAUUGUCCCCACAUAGAUCCAGGUCACAUCCUGAGUUGAGGUCUCAGGGUGACGGAGGAGCACUAGCACAUACCACUGUUUGCAGCUGCAUGGGACCAACUGGGGUCACAGUUCCAAGGCAGAAAAGAGUGCUUGUGGCUGCUUACAGUCUAGAACACAGGCCAGGAGAGUAAGAAAUACAGCUCUCCUUAAAUAAUCUCAUCUUGGAAGAACUGAAAACUUAUAGCUCUCCAGAGCUGGCUCUGAAGGCAACUGCACAAAGAACUUGAGGCUUGGAACAUUGCCUCUCCCUUCACCAUAGGAAUAGAGCCCAACUUUAAUAGUUUAAGUUAAAAGAAAAGAAAAGGAAAAGACUGGAAAAUGAGCAAACAAUUAAAAAGAAAACUAUUUUGGUGAUGGAGAAGACCAAAACACAAACUUUGAAGAAGACAAUACUACUGCAUCUAAAACCUCCAAGAAAAAUAUGAAUUGUUCUCAAGCCCCAAAAGAAUUAAUGGAGGAGUUCAAAACAGAUAAAGAUUUGAGGUAGAAGAAAGGUAAUGGGACCAAUGUUCUGGGUCAGACUGGGUUCUUUUGCCUGUUUGUGGCAGUUGGUUACCUAGGGAGGUAGAAGAAAAAUUGGAAAAAGAAAUGAGUGUGAUAUAGGAAAAUCAUGAAAAAAGAGUCAACAGCUUGGGAAGAUGAUUCUUGUAACUCUUAAGAACUUUAUCAUUGGGGCAGUUAAAAGUAGUAUACACAGAGAAAUGCAUUGGGAGAAGGGGAAAGGGAGAAAUAGAAUGGGGUAAAUUAUUUCACAUAAAAGAAGCAUGAAAGAGGUUUUACAGUGGAGGGGAAGAUGGGGGAGUCUGAGGGGGGAACUUGUACUUUAAUGUUUUUGGAAUUGGCUCAAAGAGGGAAGAACAUACAUAAUCAGUUGAUUAUAGAAAUCUAUUUUUACUCUACAAGAAAGUAGGAGGGGAAGGGGAUAAGAGAAGGAGGAGGGGCUGAUAGAAAAGAGGACAAAGUAGGGGAUGUGAUGGACAGAAGCUAAACACUUUUGAGGAUGGACAGAAUGGAAGGACAGAGAGUAGGAUAAGCUGGCAGAAAUAGUAUGAAGAAUAAUACAGAGUAGUCAUAAUGCUGAAAAUUUUUUAUAAGUCUCUCUAAUAAAGGCCUCAUUUCUCAACUAUAUAACUGAGUAAAAUGUACAAGAAUAAUACAAGCCAUUCCCCAUUUGAUAAAUGGUCAAAGGAUAUGAACAGGCAGUUCUCAAAGUAAUUAAAGCUCUCUCUAGUCAUGUGAAAAAAUGCUUAAAAUCAUUAUUAACUAGAGAGUGCAAAUUAAAACAGCUCUGAGGUACUACCCAGCACCUAUCAGAUCAACUAUUAAGAUAGAAAAGGAAAAUGACAAAAGUUGGAGGGGAUGUGGGAAAAUUGAAACACAAAUGCACUGUUGGGGGAGUCAUGAAUUGAGAGCAAUUUGGACCUGUCUAAAGGGCUAUAAAAUAGUGCAUAUGCUUUGAUCCAGCAGUACUAGGUCUGUAUCCCAAAGAGAUUAAAAACAAAAAGGGGAAGGAUCUGUAUGUACAAAAAUAUUUAAAGCAGCUCUUUUUUGUGGGGGCAAAAAAUUGGUAAGUGAAGAGAUAGCCAUCAAUUGGGGAAUGGUGGAGUAAGGUAUAUAGUAUAUGAUUAUAAUGGGAGACUGUAAGAGCUGUAAGAAAUGAUGAGCAGGAGCUCAGAAAAAACUGGAAAGACAGUACAAACUAAAGCAGAGUGAAACGAGCAGAACCAGGAGAAUCCUGUACACAGAGACAGCAAUCUGUACUAUGAACAACUGGGAAUAAGUUAGUUAUUCUCAGCUAUACAAUGAUCCAAGAUAAUCCCAAAGCUCUCAUGAUAAAAAUUGCCAUCUGUUUCCAGAAAAAGAACUGAUGGAAUCUGAAUCCAGACCAAAGUGAAGUUUUUCACUUUCUUUAUUUUUUUUAGUUUCCUUUCACAAAAGAAUAAAUAUGGAAAUUAUUUUGGAAAUUAAUAUGGAAUAAUUACACAUAUAAAAUCUAUAUUAGGUUGCUUGCCAUCCCAGAAGACUGGGAGAGAGAAGGAAGGAGAAAAUUCAAGAAUCAAAAUUCUUUUUAAAAUGUUGGAAACUGUUUUUACAUGUAAUUGGGGGAAAAAGAAAAGGGGGGAUAACAAGUAAAAAAGUAGCACUGACUACCCCAUAUAUCAGUCCCAAUUCCUUUAUAUUUUAGACAUUAGACAUUUACCAGAUAGAUUUAUUUUGAAGAUUUUUUUCUCAGACUUCGUGGGUACCCAAGACCACAUGAGCUGCCAGAUUACAAGGACUGACUGGCUGACCAGUCUAAUUUCCACGUGGAUGAGGAGGGCCAAAGCCAGAGGAGCCCAGGGUCCACUGUAUGCUUGCCUUGCUGGGACAAAGUAAACCUCCUUUGUCCAAUGAGUGCUUCUUUCCAUCUCAACACUGAAAUGAACCAAAUGGGUUCUGGCUCCCCCAACACUGUGCCUGGGACAACCAGAAACCACGGACACACGUUUUGCUUCUGCCCUCAGCGUCCAUUAUUUCAUGCCUUUGAUGGAGGAAUAUAGGAGACGGAAUAUUGGAGACGGAAUGGAUCGUGGACUUUGAAAGGUCAGGAAAAUAUCAGGAGUCCUUCAUAUGCACUAAGGUUUUGGAUUUACUCUCCCAACUCAUGUAUGGGUUCUGAAAGCAAGGUUCUGUCUCUCCCCUCAGGGGUCUAGAGGCACCCUUGAGGUCCAGUGUUUCCCUUAGCCCUAUCCUGCAGACUGGGAGGAGCAGUGGAGGUGUGUGCGCUGCACACCUGUGCAGGAACAGGGCUGUUGUGAUGGGGAAUUAAAGAAAG